rnacentral:rRNA from 1 species
UGGGGAAUAUUGGACAACGGGCGCAAGCCUGAUCCAGCCAUGCCGCGUGAGUGAUGAAGGCCCUAGGGUUGUAAAGCUCUUUCGCCAGGGACGAUAAUGACGGUACCUGGAUAAGAAGCCCCGGCUAACUUCGUGCCAGCAGCCGCGGUAAUACGAAGGGGGCUAGCGUUGUUCGGAAUCACUGGGCGUAAAGCGCACGUAGGCGGAUCUUUAAGUCAGGGGUGAAAUCCCGAGGCUCAACCUCGGAACUGCCUUUGAUACUGGAGGUCUCGAGUCCGGGAGAGGUGAGUGGAACUGCGAGUGUAGAGGUGAAAUUCGUAGAUAUUCGCAAGAACACCAGUGGCGAAGGCGGCUCACUGGCCCGGUACUGACGCUGAGGUGCGAAAAGCGUGGGGAGCAAAACAGGAUUAGAUACCCUGGUAGUCCACGCCGUAAAACUAUGGAUGCUAGCCGUUGGGCAGCUUGCUGUUCAGUGGCGCAGCUAACGCUUUAAGCAUCCCGCCUGGGGAGUACGGUCGCAAGAUUAAAAACUCAAAUGAAUUGACGGGGUC